GUCCAUGCUAGCUAAGAUGCAGAAGCAGCCAGAUGUUUCCAGGGGUUUUCUAUAGGAGAUCUAACUACUGAGAUAGUGAAGCUGAUAACAGAAAUGUAGCAGCUACAAGGACAGUAGGGCUGAUUUUGCUGGGUUGGAGAAGCUGUAUUUGUGAAACUCUGUACUUGGAGAUCCCUUGUAUGAUGGGCUCAUGGGACAUCCUCCCUGCCAAUGCCAUCACUCUCUCCCCAGCUGAUAUUUGCUCUUUGCAGGGAAAUGGCUUCAGAGAUGAAGAGGGGAAAGAGACUGAAAGAGCAGAUAAAAGGAAAAGUACUCAAACAGUGCUGUGUUGUUUCAAGAGCGGAGAUCAGGAGCCUUGGGAAGUAUCACUCAUCUCAACUCUGAAGUCCCAACGGCCAUAACUGCCACCAAUCUCUCAUACCACCGGGACUUGGGCAUGUGAUCCAGGCUUGGCCAAUCUAAUGGGCCACUCUAGACUUGCAACAUGGCACUAGGGCUACAAAGAAGCUAUUCUGAAGCUUUUAUCUGACUAUGGACGCAUCCAGUGUGUGCCACAUCCAGGGUAGUGGCAAGGGUCUCACUGGGGCGGACUGUGCUGUUAGAAGCUACUUAGCCUCACUUAUUCUUACUUAGCCUCACUGUAUUCUCC
rnacentral:lncRNA from 1 species